GAUGAACGCUAGCGGCAGGCUUAAUACAUGCAAGUCGAGGGGUAGCAAGAUUGUAGCAAUACAAUUGUUGACGACCGGCAAACGGGUGCGGAACACGUACACAACCUUCCUACAAGUGGGGAAUAGCCCAGAGAAAUUUAGAUUAAUACCCCGUAACAUAGCGAUGUGGCAUCACAUUGCUAUUAUAGCUUCGGCGCUUGUUGAUGGGUGUGCGGCUGAUUAGAUAGUUGGCGGGGUAACGGCCCACCAAGUCUACGAUCAGUAGCUGAUGUGAGAGCAUGAUCAGCCACACGGGCACUGAGACACGGGCCCGACUCCUACGGGAGGCAGCAGUAAGGAAUAUUGGACAAUGGACGCAAGUCUGAUCCAGCCAUGCCGCGUGAAGGAUUAAGGUCCUCUGGAUUGUAAACUUCUUUUAUAAGGGACGAAAAAAGGUCUUUCUAGAUCGUCUGACGGUACCUUAUGAAUAAGCACCGGCUAACUCUGUGCCAGCCGCCGCGGUAAGAC
rnacentral:rRNA from 1 species